rnacentral:misc_RNA from 1 species
UAUGCCUUACAAGUUGAUGAUUGAUUGAAUGAAUGAGGAAGAAUGUAAAAAAGAAAAGUACAAUGGGGCAUUUUGUUAGGUGCACUUAUAUGUAAAUAUUACAAAACAGACAUGUCAGGGUCUAGGCAACAAGACUGGAGGAGAACUAUAUUGAAUUAUGCCAUAAGAAAUGUUCACUUCUAGCUAUAGGUUUAAUGCAGAUUUUUCAUUACACACAGCAACAACCACAUGUGCAAAGAAUGGAUUCUGGUGUGUGCUAUCUUAUAUUUGAGGAAAACUACAUGGGAGUUGCCACAGUUCGCUGGGGAUAUUGCAGCUAUUUUUGUGGAUUAGGGUAUGAUGACAUGGGCCUAUACUGCUACCAGUAAUGGCCACCAAUAAGCUGUUACAAGCCAAGAUAAAUAUGACAGAGGUGCUGGUAUAUACCCUUACAAACCCUGGACCAAUGGAAUGGGAUGCAAUGGGUUUAGUAUGAAGAAGGAUGUGCAAAGAUUGAUAUCUCUGGUAAAGUGCCUAUUGAUCUAAUCAAUAAUCUGGCCUAUAUAGGACUCUUGGUUGGAUUAUUUUUGUUAGGAUAUUCUUGAUGCUUCUUUUUGUGAUAAUUAUAUACAUUAUAAUAAACUUUAAUGAGUGAAUUAUACUUCACAUUUCUAUCUCAUUAUGCCACAUGAUUUAUGCCUUGCAAGUUGAUGAUAGAUUAAAGGAAUGAGGACGAUUGUAACAAAGAAAAGUACAAUGGGGGCAUUGUGUUAGGUCAAUAGUCUCUUGUGAUGCACUAGAAGUUGUAAAUAAUAGUAUGCAACUAGGACAAACAUUCAUCCUGCAUGAUAGCCACCAUGCAUGUCUAAUACAAAUAUUUUGGGUAGCUUAAUACUACUAGGUGUACUCAGUUGUAAAUAAUACCAGGCACAUUUCAAACAUCAAGGCGUUUUUCACACGUGCUUGUAGCAAGAGCUGGAUGAUGUAUGCCUCAUGUUCAGUAGGCUAUAUAAAGAGGUGCUUUUCCCUGCAGUGAGCAAGUUACAACAAAAGGAAAAUCGUGAUGAAGACUCUUGUACUCUUCUUAAUGACUCUCAGUGUUUGUGCUCUGGCUAUGCCAGGCACAAAGUCUUACAACCGUCAUCAUUACAGAAACAGAAACAAAGAAACAAACAAGAAGUACGAAAUUUUGCCACAACAAGUCAAUUCACUUGCCUAUGAUAAAAGUAUUUUGGAUGAUAUUACAGUCAAAGUUAAUGGAAGUGAAAUUUGUGUUUUCCUUUCAGGAAUCAAGCUUGGCUGUGUUGACGCUCAUCAAGCAUGUGGAACAAAAUUUCCUCCAGUAACUAUUGGCUGUGCUGAUGAUGAGGAGAACUACCUUGGAUUAUGCUAUAAGAAGUGUUCACUUCUUGCUAAUCCAGAUUUCCCAUUGCGCACAGCAACAAACACAUGUGCAAAGAAUGGAUGCAGUGAGGAUGAAGAAAAUGAUGCUGGUCUUUGCUAUCCUAAAUGCAAAGAAUACUACAUCGGAGCUGCCACCGUUUGCUGGGGAUAUUGCAGUCAUUUCUGUGGAUCAGACUACACUGACAUGGGCUUAUACUGCUACAGGUGGUGGCCACCACAUAGCUGUUACAAGCCAAGGUAUGAUAGAGGUGCUGGUACCCUCCCUUACAAACCCUGGACCAAUGGAAUGGGAUGCAAUGGGUUUGGUGUGAAUAAUCAAGGAGAAUGUGCGUGCAUUGAUAUCGCUGGCAUGGUCCCCAUUGAUCUUGAUUGCAACUAGCCUUGUGAACUGGCCUAUGUUAAAUGCAUGAAGAAGUAAUAUAGGACUUUUUGUUAAAACUAUUUUUAUUAGGAAUAUUUUUGUUAGGACAUUUUAUUAAGACUAUUUUUGUUAGAACUAUUUUUGUUAAGACUAUUUUUGGUGCUUCUCUUUUCAUGCAACUUUUUUCUAAA